GUUCUACAGAAUAUAUACUGCAUUAUAUUGGGAGAGGUAUGUACUACAGAAUAUAUACUACAUUAUAUUGGGAGAGGUAUGUACUACAGAAUAUAUACUACAUUAUAUUGGGAGAGGUAUGAACUACAGAAUAUAUACUACAUUAUUUUGGGAGAGGUAUGUACUACAGAAUAUAUACUACAUUAUGUUGGGAGAGGUAUGUACUACAGAAUAUAUACAACAUUAUAUUGGGAGAGGUAUGUACUACAGAAUAUAUACUACAUUAUAUUGGGAGAAGUAUGUACUACAGAAUAUAUACUACAUUAUAUUGGGAGACGUAUGUACUACAGAAUAUAUACUACAUUAUAUUGAAGGCUAUUCCAUGUGAGAAAUUGCCAAGUAACUGAAGAUCUCGUAGAUCUGUGUACUACUCCCUUCACAGAACAGCGC
rnacentral:lncRNA from 1 species